rnacentral:lncRNA from 1 species
CCACUGCUGGGAGCUUCGCAGCCAUAACCUCACUCCAUCUCUGCUGCCCGUGGCCCUGGCCCCUCCUGCCAGAACUGGGCGAAGGAGUCACAGCACCCGGGCCACCAGCGCAGCCCAGAGCUCAGGCCUUCCCUUGGGCUGCGCAUGGACCUCGAGGCCCCGGCAGCACCCGUUCUCCUGAGAUCCCCGCAGUCCACGUGGGUGUAAGAGGGGACUGGGCUUGACCAAGGAGAAACAAAACUGGGGCCUAAUCAGUGGUCCUGCUGUCCCUGCCCCAAGAGGACGCCCACAGCCCCAGUCUGCUCUUCCCUGUGCCCAAACCCACACCCCACAUAACCCGUACACUACCCAGGGCCCAGGUUCAACGUUUCCUGGGACCUCUGCGAGUCAGUGGAAAACAUUCCUGAUAUUUAACACCUGGAUCCUCAAGGGGAGAUGCCCAGGACUCUGUGGCUUCCAGCCAGCAGGUGGUUCUAAUCCCGGAGGGGUGUUCGAGGAGCCACCCGCCGCCACAGCCCCUUCAGUGUGCAGCUGGUCAGAGCACGCCUGUGUCAGGGGCAGCCCCCAGAGCCCCACCACCCAGCCACGCGGGCCCUCUUGGUUCUCACAGUCCACAGCAGGGAUCCGCAGAGGCUCUGAGGACGCCUGACAGAGGUCCUUGUCCCCUGCCCCACAUGGAAGCCUCCAGAACCCAGAAAUCCCAGACCCCACCUCUCCCCCACCUCUGCAUCCAGCAAUGUCCCCAGAGGAUUCAGAAUCGUCAUGCCACAGUUCCCGGGAGCCAAAGAGAGGGUGCAAAGGAGGGGUGCAGGGGAGGGGGUCUGUCAGAGGAAGGGGCUCACCUCUGAUGGUGGCUGAAAAUUCCAGGGGCAGCCUUCUGCCAAGUAGGAAACCAGGAGAGCUGGGAGCAGGUGCACACCGAGUCCCCAGGAUCCAGGACCAGGACCCAGCAGCCGCCGGGUUCUUCUCGGUCUCGGGCUGCAGCCGGGAGUCCCAGGUCACGGGUGCGAGUUCCAGAGUGGAAAAGCCACAGCACCGGGGGCUCUGAGCCUGAGGGGGGGCACUGAGACGCGCAGGCUCCAUGAGAGCCCCGAGCUGCCCCUGCCCUGCGGCCCUGUUCUCUCCGAGUUCUGGGCGGGCUGCGUGGUGCUGCCCACGGCGAGGGCGCAUCCCCAUGGUGCUGGAGACACUCAUCUGGGCCCCACAGAAACUCACAGACACCCCGGGUGCUCAGUCUUUCCCAUCCCGGG